rnacentral:sRNA from 14 species
AUAAAGUAUGGGACUCAACAAACUUCUCUGACUGAAAAACAGUUAUUUCGGACUACGCUAUUAGUCUAAGUCCUUUAAUGGGCUACGUUAUUUUGGUCAAGACACCUACGGAUACUCCUCAAGUCUGUAGCUCUGUC